rnacentral:RNase_MRP_RNA from 10 species
GUCCGUGCUGAAGGCCUGUUGCCUGGGCUACAAACGGAGGACUGUGUUCCUACUCCCUUCGCCCAGGGGAAAGUCCCCGGACCUCCGGCAGAGAGUGCCACGUGCGCGUGCACGUCGACCUUCCCCGCAUCUCACAAAUAACUCCGCUAAGAAGCGAGCCGGCCCCUCUCCGGGCUGGGGAGCCGAGCGGCGUGUGGCGGCGGGGGUCAUCCGUCAUCUGACCUAGUUACGCAGGCAGCGCGCGCCCGCGUGCCAACCGAACGGGGCUCAUUCUCAGCACGGC